rnacentral:lncRNA from 1 species
ACAGGUAAAAGUAAGUCUUUACAAAGUUUAAAUAUAAAACCUAUUAUUAACUCUUGUUCUAGAAUAGAUGUCCUGAAUCUUUCUGCUCUCUGAAAGCUUAGUCUUUCACAAAUGUCUCCCCAGCACUCUGGUAGGAACCAGCCUCUGGGAAGGUUCUUAGCCUUUCCUUUAUAUUCUACAAGGAAGUGAGGUCAUGUCUUGCCUGUUUUUCUAUGUCCUGCUUAUUUCAGGCUCAUCUGUGUUGUUACAGAUGACAAGAUUCCUUAAAGCUAAAUAGUUUUCCUGUGUGUGUCUCUGUGUGUGUGUUCUACAUUUAGUCUGUUUACCUGUUGAUAUUUAUCUAGCGCCGGUGCCUUGAAAAUCUAUAUGUAGACCAGGCUGGCCUUAAAUUCAUAGAGAUCUGUCUGCAUCUGUAUCUUGAGUGCUGCGAUUAAAGGCAUGUGCUAGAAUAAAACCACAGAUCUGAAGCUCUCUAUAUAGUGGCUAGAUAGCACCUGCCUCAGCUCUAGAAUUAACAGGUGUGAUUACUUGAAAUUAACAACAACAAAAAAAGCCCUAAUAGCACAACCUGCAAGAGAGAAAGCUCUGCCAGGCAGGGUUAAUGUCUAGAAUAUAAGAACUAAAUAAGCAUAAAAACUGUACACAAGAGAAUAAAGCAGAAAGCCCACAACAAUCCUUCCAGUAAUAAGUGGGCUAAUAAUGGGGAGUUCUCAAAAGGACAAAUUUAAGAGGCCAUAAAAUUGACUCAACAGGGGUUGGGAAUUGAACUUUUAGGACCUCUGCUUGCUUUGGUUGGCCCACUCGCUCCAGUCAGAUUCCGCUUGCUCAGUCCCUGCUUGCUCCUGCCCAAAUACUUAUUUAUUAUUAUACAUAAGUACACUGUAGCUGAAGUACACCCGCUGAGCCAUCUUGCCAGCCCGAGGUUAUUUUAAGUUUGAUGAAAUUCCUGCAUGAUUUCUUUACAUACUGAUUUCUGAGUGCAAAUGAUCACAAACAAGGCAUAGAACAUCCCACCGCACCUCCUUUUAAAUGAAAACAGGCAUAAUUGGUUCAUUUAAAAUCUGAGGGUUUUCUUUUUUUUUUUUUUGGUUUUUCGAGACAGGGUUUCUCUGCAUAGCACUGGCUGUCCUAGAGCUCACUGUAGACCAGGCUGGCCUUGAAUUCAGAGAUCAGCCUUCCUCUGCCUCUUGAGUGCUUGGAUUAGAGGCAUGUACAGCCAACAACUGGCUACAUUUUAGUUUUUAUUAUUGUGUGUGUACAGACAGGUUGGUGCACAACAUGCCACGUGUGUGUAGGUUAGAACGAUGUUCAGGAGUGGGUUUUCCGCUGUUGCGGGGCCUGGGGACUGAGGUCCGAUGGUCAGGCUGGAGCAUCUGAAGCCAUGAAGUGUCAGGUUCUUGUUAUUUUCUUCAGUAUUAUUUUUGGCUACUUAGGGUCUUUUGAAUUUUGGUAUGAGUCUUAAGAUUUUUGAUUCUAUUUCUGCAAAUAAAAGAUAACAUUGUGAUUGCAUUGAAUUUGUCGAUUCCCUUGGGUAGUGUGAAUACUUUAGUAUUAAGUUUUAAGCCAUAAACACAGGAUGUCUGUCCCUUUAUAUCACUGCUUUGUUUUCUGUGUGUGCAGUGUGUGCUACUGUGUUUGUGUGUUUGAUGCUGACUAUUUUCCUCUUUGGUUGGUUGGUUGAUUGGCAGGGUCUGGAUAUUACUCCCCAUCCUAUCCAUCCGUCUGUCUGUCCUUCCGUCCAUCCAUCCAUCCAUCCAUCCAUUUAUCUUAGAGGCAGGCUGGCUUGGAACUUGCUAUGUAGAUAAGAGCUCCGCCUUCCCCUGGUUUCAGUGCUGAGGUCCCACAUGCAGCUCCCAUCUUAAUUUUGACAGGGCUUCUCAUUGACUUGGAGCAUGCUGUUCUGGCUAGAGUGGUGGGCCAGCAAGACCCUGGAGUCAUUCCUGUUUCCCCCUCCCAGGGCUGGGGUUACAGGCAGUCGCUGGUAUUUUAUGUGGUUGCUCAGCCCCCAUUUCUUUUAACAGUGUUUUGUGUCUUUUUGUAUACAAGUUUUUCAUGUCCGAGGUUAGGAUUGUUUCUGAGGCAUCUACGUUUUAAAAUCAUCUAUCCCCCUGUCUCAAUGUAGCCCAGGCUGGAUCAACUCAGCUUCCCUGAUGCUGGGAGCAUAGGUGCCUACCACCAUGCCUGGUUGGUGGGGCCUCUUUUUUUAAUUCUGUUUUUGGAUGUGUUAACUAUGAGUGUUGUAGCAACUGCUUUUAAAAAUAGUUAUAUGUAUAUUACUUAUAUAUAUGUUUAUGUUUGUUGAUAUUUAUAUCCUACAUUUAAAAACUGUGUAUGAUACAUAAGCACUCUACCAAGUGAGCUACACCCCCAGGUUGAAGAUACUUGUGUCUGUGUUCAUUAAGAAAGCUGAGUGUGGAGGUGCAACCCAGGUAGUUUCCGCAUUGGGAGGUUGAGGAGGGAAGAUUGCUACAGUUGGAGUGAGACUGAGCUACAUGCCAAUUUCCAGGCUACAGAGUGAAAUCCUGUCUCAAACAGAAAAAGAAAAACUAAUUUUAUGGAAACUUAUUCUUAAAUCUCUCUCUCUCUCUUCCUCUCUUCCCUUAGUGUAUAUGUGUUUGAGUCCUCUUAACUAGUUAUCAAUGAAUUAAUAUAUUUUAAUUCUUUAGGGUCAGUCUUGGCAAGUUGUGUUCCUAGGAGUUUGUCCUCUUCUUCUAGGUUAUUCAGUUUGUUGGUUAUGUAAUUGUUCUUAGAUUCUCUGUGUGUGCAUAGAGCAGUGACUAGGAAAGGUACUGUUUUAGGGAUGGUGAUGCGGCUCAGUUGGUAGAGCACUUGCCUGGUAAGCAGGAGCCGCUGGCUUUGAUUUGGUUUGAUUCCCAGUGUGGUAUAUGCCUAUAAUAUCGUUACCUGGGAGGUGGAGGCAGGGGGAUCAGAAGUUUGAGGUCAUUUUGCUACUUAGUGAGUUCAAGGUCAGCUUGGACUACAUAAGACCCUGGUAUCC